AUUGAACGCUGGCGGCAGGCCUAACACAUGCAAGUCGAGCGAGCGGCGGACGGGUGAGUAAUGUAUGGGGACUGCCCGAUAGAGGGGGAUAACUACUGGAAACGGUGGCUAAUACCGCAUACUAUCGGAUAACCCAUAUGGGAUUAGCUAGUAGGUAAGGUAAUGGCUUACCUAGUCGACGAUCCCUAGCUGGUCUGAGAGGAUGAUCAGCCACACUGGAACUGAGACACGGCCCAGACUCCUACGGAGGCAGCAGUGGGGAAUAUUGCACAAUGGGCGCAAGCCUGAUGCAGCCAUGCCGCGUGUAUGAAGAAGGCCUUCGGGUUGUAAAGUAUUUUCAGUGGGGAGGCGUUACCGGCAGAAGAAGCACCGGCUAACUCCGUGCCAGCCGCCGCGGUAAUUC
rnacentral:rRNA from 1 species